CGCUGCUCCCGCUGCACAGACGCGUUUCCGGCACCUCUGCUAUCUCGGGGCUGCCACGAGAUUUCUGACUCUUCCUCACUCGGCAAACACGCAGCUUGCUCUCGCCAUGCACCUCGCACAUCUCAUCCUCACCGUCUUCCUGGGACAGCUCCUCGGCACCUCGGGGCAGAUCACGGUCACCCAGGAAGAUGGACGAGUCACGGUGAAGCAGGGACACACCUUCCACACCACCUGCAAAUACCAGACCAGUGGUUUUACUGCCUUACUCUGGUACCAGCUGCGGAAAGGCCAAGCCCCCCAGCUGCUCUCCUAUCAAUCAGGGACUGGCCCCAGGCACAGCGGCCGUAUCACCACGCACCUGAACACCACGGGGGAAUCCAGUGUGCUGAAGGUGGAGGAAGUGGAGGGCUCUGACAGCGCCUUGUACCUGUGUGCUGUGCAAGACACCCUGGUGCAGGGAGCUUCCUGGGCUGUGCAACAACCCAGGGGAGGGAGGAGAUGUGUCUGUGGAGCCCUGCUGCUUUGGCCCCACAUGUUCUCAGCAGAGCCCAGAGCUGGUUCUGUGUUCCUGCCCUGGCUGCUCUUGCAGCAGCCCCGUUUGCAUGGACACACGUGA